rnacentral:rRNA from 1 species
CAGGAUUCCCCUAGUACGGCGAGUGAAGCGGGAAGAGCUCAAAUUUAAAAUCUGGCGGCUUUGCCGUCCGAGUUGUAGUCUGUAGAGGCGUUAUCCGCGGCGGACCACGUACAAGUCCUUUGGGAUGAGGCGUCAUAGAGGGUGAGAAUCCCGUCCAUGACGUGGACUACCGUCGCUUUGCGUUGCGCCAUCGAAGAGUCGAGUUGUUUGGGAAUGCAGCUCAAAACGGGUGGUAAAUUCCAUCUAAAGCUAAAUACAGGCGAGAGACCGAUAGCGAACAAGUACCGUGAGGGAAAGAUGAAAAGAACUUUGGAAAGAGAGUUAAACAGUACGUGAAAUUGCUGAAAGGGAAACGCUUGAAGUCAGGUCGUCUCGGCGAGGACUCAGCCAGGCUUUUUGCCUGGCGCACUUCCUUCGUCGAGGGGCCAGCGUCAGUUUUGGGCGCCGAAUAAGGGCGCGGGG